GACGAACGCUGGCGGCGUGCUUAAUACAUGCAAGUCGAACGGAAAGGCCCUGAGCUUGUGGGUUGCUCGUUUGGCGAACAGGGGAGUGAAACGUGUGUAAAAUGCACUUGUCUUUCGGGUAACUUCAGGGGAAUGGGGCGAAUACCGGAUAGGAGCUCCUGCUGCGUGGUGGGGGUUGGAAAGAUUCGGUGGUUGGGGAUGGAAUCGCGGCUUAUGAGCUUGUUGGUGGGGUAGUGGCGUUCCAAGGCUUUGACGGUUAGCCGGCCUGGGAGGGUGACCGGCAACAUUGGGACUGGGAUACGGCCCAGACGCCUACGGGAGGAAGCAGUGGGGAAUAUUGCGCAAUGGGCGGAGGCAGGAUGCAGCAACGCCGCGUGCGGGAAGUCGGCUUUCGGGGUGUAACCUGCGUUCGCCUGAGACGAAGCGUGAGUGACGGUAAUGAGCAAAGAAGCACCGGCUAACUACGU
rnacentral:rRNA from 1 species